AUGCCGCCGGCGAUCGCUUUGGCGUCGGCGUCGGCGUCGAUGCGCGGCGGCGAAGGCGCGAAGGGUACGGCGCGGCGCCCGGACCGCGUGCUGGCCGCGCGCCGGCGGCGAGCUGCCGUGCUGCUCCUCGCUCUAGCGUACACGGCGGCUAUGCUUGUGCUCCUCCUGGGCGCUGACGGCACGGGCCUGGGCACAGGUGGUGGACGCGUGGUGGUAGGUGCGCCGCGUCCGCGGGCGCGGGCGCCAGCGCCGCCCGGAUCGGUGUACCGCAGCCACCUCGUGUUCGAGCGGCUCCUGCCGGAAAUGCGCGCCCUCGCCUCUCGUCCUAGCCCGUUAAUGGCAUCCCAUUAUAAAAAGUCUGGAAAGAGAUGGGUACCUUGCAUCAGAAAGAGAUUGACACAAUCAGCGUUACCACCUUCAAAUGGUUUUCUCGUAAUUGAAGCAAAUGGUGGUCUGAAUCAGCAACGCAUUUCUAUUUGUGAUGCUGUUGCUGUGGCAAGCUUACUUAAUGCAACUCUUGUCAGCCCAGCUUUUCAUCUGAAUAGUGUUUGGCGUGAUUCUAGCAAAUUUGGUGAUAUAUUUGAUGAAGACCAUUUUAUUGAGACACUCCGAAAACAUGUAAGGGUUGUCAAAGAACUUCCUGAAAAUGUUUCUGCGCAGUUUGACCAUAAUAUCAGCAGUAUACCGAAUAUGAGAACCAAAGCCUUCUCGUCUCACAGUUACUACCUAGAAAAGGUGCUUCCGAAACUGUUGGAGCUAGGGGCUGUGCGUAUUGCUCCUUUCUCAAAUAGAUUGGCUAAUUCAGUUCCAUCAAAUAUCAAUGCGUUGAGAUGUUUGGCAAACUAUGAGGCAUUGAGAUUUUCUGAACCCAUAAGAAUUCUUGCAGAUAACAUGGUUGACCGAAUGAUCAAGAAGAGUGCUUUGACUAGUGGGAAGUACAUGUCAGUUCAUCUUCGCUUUGAAGAGGAUAUGGUAGCUUUCUCAUGCUGUAUAUAUGACGGUGACUGGAAGGAGAAUAUUGCAAUGGAGAAUGCUCGCGAAAGGGGCUGGAGAGGGAAGUUUCGCCGACCAGGUCGAGUGAUAAAUCCCGAGGCCAAUCGGAGGAAUGGGAGAUGUCCUUUAGCUCCUAUAGAGGUUGGAAUGAUGCUGCAUGGCAUGGGGUUUGAUAAUACUACCUCACUCUAUGUUGCCUCUGGUAAAAUAUACAAUGCUGAGAAGUAUAUGACUCCUCUUCGCGAGUUGUUUCCACUUCUACAAACAAAGGAAACGCUCACUUCACCUGAGGAGCUUGCACAGUUCAAGGGGCAUUCAUCCAGACUGGCCGCAUUGGACUACACAGUCUGUCUAUGGAGCGAAGCCUUUGUAACGACUCAAGGAAGCAAUUUCCCUCAUUUCCUGAUCGGACACAUGCGUUAUUUGUAUGGGGGGCAUGCAAAGACAAUAACACCAGAUAAACGGAAAAUGGUGCUACUCUUUGACAACCCGGAUAUCAGAUGGGAUCGGUUCAGGCACCUCAUGCAGGAUAUUCGUCGCCAAAGUGAAUCGAAAGGUUUCGGGUUCAGGAAACAGCAUGGAUCGAUAUACAACCUCCCGAUGCCCGACUGCAUGUGUCAGCAAGCUGAAGCAUGA
rnacentral:rRNA from 1 species